GCCGAUGUGGCGAAAUCGGUUGACGCAGUUGAUUAAAAAUCUACCGCCGCAUGGUGUGCCGGUUCGAGUCCGGCCUUCGGCACCA
rnacentral:tRNA from 1 species